rnacentral:lncRNA from 1 species
UCAUUGUUGCAUUUGAAGAUAUUUUUUUUAUUUUUUCACAUAUUAAACACCGUGGCAAUUGCUCAUUAUUUAUAGAUGGAAUAAAUCCAUAUUUCAGUUAUUCACUCGAGUAUUGACAGCACUUUCUUUUCCCACGAAUCCUAAAUUUUUAAAAAAUACUAACAUAGACAACAAUUAUAUUUAAUUCAUAUCGCUAAGCAAAAUAUGAUGGAGAUCAGAAUAAAUAUCAAAUGGAAAUUGUAGUUGUGAUACCUGUGCCGGUGGCACGUAAAAAGCACCAUCCGAACGUGGCCGAUGCCAGCGCCGCCUUGACUGGCUUCUGUGCAGGUGGUACGUAAAAAGCACCAACCGAUCGUGGCCGCUGCCAGCCUCCCUUGGCCCCUGUGCUAGUGGAACGUAAAAAGCACCACCCAAACGUGGCCGAUGCUAGCGCCACCUUGACUGGCUUCUGUGCCGGUGGCACGUAAAAAGCACCAACAGAUCGUGGCCGCUGCCAGCCUCCCUUGGCUUCUGUGCCGGUGGCACGUAAAAAGCACCCACUACACUCAUGGAGUGGUUGGCGUUAGGAAGGGCAUCCAGCUGUAGAAACACUGCCAGAUCAGACCGGAGCCUGGUGCAGCCUCCUGGCUUCCCAGACCCCGGUCAAACUGUCCAAUCCGUGCUAGCACGGAAAACGGACGUUAAACGAUGAUGAUGAUGAUCACAGUAGCCUGGUGUAAUCUUCCACCUGAUCGGCUCCUGUCAAACCACCCAACCCAUGCCAGCAUGGAAAACGGACGUUAAAUGAUGAUGGUGGUGAUGAUCAUAAUAAACGAAGACUACAAGCAAGAGUAUGUGUCUAAAAUUCCUGUUCAAGGCAGAAAAAUAGCAUUAAAAAUUAUUCUUGUUUAGACAUGUUUUCAGCCAUAUUAUUAUAUACCUCUAUCUCAUUUUAUUUUAAUAACCAUUACUAAUUUUAUCAUGCAUAAUUAAUUAAUUUAGUAUGUUGAUUGCACCGCACCGCCCCGCUCACCACUCCUAAAGCCGAACACUCCCUUCGACAUGACCCAGCGCUACCGUCCAUUCUGGGAACCUUUGGUUUCGUCGAACAAAUCGGCGCCAGUAAUUUUUUGAAAGUCUCUCUCUCUCUUUACUCUUUUACUUGUUUCAGUCAUUUGACUGCGGCCAUGCUGGAGCACCGCCUUUUAGUCAAGCAAAUCAACCCCGGGACUUAUUCUUUUGUAAGCCCAGUACUUAUUCUAUCGGUCUCUUUUGCCGAACCGCUGACGGGGACGUAAACACACCAGCAUCGGUUGUCAAGCAAUGCUUGAAGGACAAACACAGACACACAAACACACACACACAUAUAUAUAUACAUAUAUCCGACAGGCUUCUUUCAGUUUCCGUCUACCAAAUCUACUCACAAGGCAUUGGUCGGCCCGAGGCUAUAGUAGAAGACACUUGCCCAAGGUGCCUCGCAGUGGGACUGAACCCGGAACCAUGUGGUUUGUUAGCAAGCUACUUACCACACAGCCACUCCUGUUAGUUAUUCUAACGGUGUCUUUUGCCGAACUGUUGGUUACGGAGAUGUAAACAUACUAACACCGGUUGUCAAGCGGUGGUGGGAGAUACACGCAGACACAAAGACACAUAUACACACCCACACACACACACACACAUCGAUAUGCCUAUUUACAUCAAAAAGGCGGUGAGCUGGCAGAAACGUUAGCACACCGGGCGAAAUGCUUAGCGGUAUUGCGUCUGUCGUUGCGUUCUGCUGAGGUUGACUUUGCCUUUCAUCCUUUCGGGGUCGAUAAAUUAAGUACCAGGUGCGCACUGGGGUCGAUGUAAUCGACUUAAUCCGUUUGUCUGUCGUUUCUAUGUUUGUCCCCUUGUGGGCAAUAAAGAAACAGAUAUGCCUAUUUACGUCAGGCUUCUUUCAGUUUUCAUCUGGAAAUCUACUGACAAAGAUUUAGUUGCUGAAAGUGUCACGCAGUUGGGUUUGAACCCCAAACCAUGAGUUGAAAAACAAGCUUCUUACCGCACACCCAUGACUGCGUUUUAAAAAGAAUAUUAAAAGUUUAUAUAAAACUGCAUUUAGGAUUUAUGUAUAAGCUAUUUUGUGAAAUGUCAACGGAUAUUCCAUUUCAAAGGUUAUUGGAUUCCAUUUCAAAACUAACCCAUUGUAUAAAUACAAAUACAUAAAAAAAUAUUCCGUAAUCCAAAGAAAAUCUGAAAUCCGUAAGACUUUCGGUCUAACGAAUUUCGGAUAAAGGAUUCUCAACUUGUAUUAAAUACUAGCAGCAUAGCCCGGCGUUGCCCGGGUAUAUAAGAGCCCCUAGUAGGCAACGACUAAUCCCAAUCUAGUCCUUUCCCUGUAGGGAACGAAGGCGCAUGUGUAGGUUGCAAUGUCUUCUCUUCACUCGAAUACUUCUGUGUAUACGAUGUUCCUAGCUGUCCCUUUGGGCGAAAACAUGAAAACAUCAUUGCGCCUCCCAACGCGUGAACAGCCCACGUACAGCCCAGAAAAUGUGUUGCAUAUAAAAAGCUUAGAUUCUCGACCCCAUGUCGAAUUUAUCGAUUAUUUUCAGAACUGGGGGAACUUUUCAAAAUUUCGCUGCGUUAGUUUUGAAUUAUGACAUUGGGCUAUGUGUGUGUCAAGUUUCAUCAGAAUCGGUUGAAAGCCGUGGUCAGGGUGAGGGUACAACCUGACAGACACACAGACAGACAAACUGCCGUUUAUAUAGAGAUAAUGACAUUAUGGGAUUCUACUGUCAUCACCUCCAGUUUCUAUUGCAAUUUACUUUCACUUUUUUUAGAGACACUGAACUAUAGGCGCACGUGCGGCUGUGUGGUAAGUAGCUUGCUAACCAAUCGCAUGGUUCCGGGUUCAGUCCCACUGCGUGGCAUCUUGGGCAAGUGUCUUCUGCUAUAGCCCCGGGCCGACCAAUGCCUUGUGAGUGGAUUUGGUAGACGGAAACUAAAAGAAGCCUGUCGUAUAUAUGUAUAUAUAUAUAUAUAUAUAUAUAUAUAUAUAUAUAUAUAUAUGUACAUAUAUAUAUGUGUUUGUGUGUCUGUGUUUGUCCCCCUAGCAUUGCUUGACAACCGAUGCCGGUGUGUUUACGUCCCCGUCACAUAGCGGUUCGGCAAAAGAGACCGAUAGAAUAAGUACUGGGCUUACAAAGAAUAAGUCCCGGGGUCGAUUUGCUCGAUUAAAGGUGGUGCUCCAGCAUGGCCGCAGUCAAAUGACUGAAACAAGUAAAAGAGUAGGUUAACCGUUUCUUUCCAGUUCAGUUCCUUUAUACGAAAAUCUAGUCUUCAAUGUAUGCGAACAAUUUUGUUAGAUCAUAUCUGGCAGAACCGUUAGCACGCCGGACGAAAUACUUAGCGGUAUUUCGUCUGCUGCGUUACGUUCUGAGUUCAAAUUCCGCGAGGUCGACUUUGACUUUCAUCCUUUCGGGGUCGAUUAAAUAAGUACCAGUUACACACUGGGGUCGAUAUAAUGGACUUAAUCCGUUUGUCUGUCAUUAUUUGUCCCCUCUCUGUGCUUAGCCCCUUGUGGGUAGUAAAGAAAUAGGUAUUUCACCCGUCAUAACGUUCUGAGUUCAAAUUCCGCGAAGUCGACUUUGCCUUUCAUCCUUUCGGGGUCGAUUAAAUAAGUACCAGUUACACACUGGGGUCGAUAUAAUGGACUUAAUCCCUUUGUCUGUCAUUGUUUGUCCUCUCUGUGUUUAGCCCUUUGUGGGUAGUAAAGAAAUAGGUAUUUCACCAGUCAUAACGUUCUGAGUUCAAAUUCUGCCGAGGUCGACUUUGCCUUUCAUCCUUUCAGGGUUGAUUAAAUAGGUACCAGUUACGCACUGGAGUCGAUAUAAUCGACUUAAUCCGUUUGUCUGUCAUUAUUUGUCCCCUCUCUGUGCUUAGCCCCUUGUGGGUAGUAAAGAAAUAGGUAUUUCGUCUGCCGUUACAUUCUGAGUUCAAAUUCCGCCGAGGUCGAUUUUGCCUUUCAUCCUUUCGGGGUCGAUUAAAUAAGUACCAGUUACACACUAGGGUUGAUAUAAUCGACUUAAUCCGUUUGUCUGUCAUUAUUUGUCCCCUCUCUGUGUUUAGCCCCUUGUGCGGGUAGUAAAGAAAUAGGUAUUUCGUCUGCCGUUACAUUCUGAGUUCAAAUUCCGCCGAGGUCGAUUUUGCCUUUCAUCCUUUCAGGGUCGAUUAAAUAAGUACCAGUUACAUACUGGGGGGUCGAUGUAAUGGACUUAAUCCGUUUGUCUGUCAUUGUUUGUCCCCUCUGUGUGUUUAGCCCCUUGUGCGGGUAGUACAGAAAUAGAUCGUAUCAAAUUCUCGGUCAGGGCUGUCUGACGGCGUUAGCCUCUGUCACUCUGCACUCCAUACCUCCUCUGUGUGUGUAUGUGUGUUUGUGUUAUUCAUUCACCUUAUUUCAUCUCUGCAUUUUUCCUGGUGCAAUUGUAAUCAAAUUGUGGUAUGUAUAACCAUUCAGCUGCGAGUACUUGUUCAUUUACUCUCUCUCCUCUCCCUUCUACAUGUCGUUGCCAUUGUCUAGUAUCUAGUGCUUCACCACACUUCCGCACAGCCAUUACGUCGUGCUGGAGGGAAAAAGAGGAGAACUACUUUUCUGUGCCAGACGAUAUCAAUGUUACCCCCUCCUCCUCCUCUCUCUCUCUCUCAGUUCUCUUUCUCUCGCUUUCCUUUCCUUCGUUUUUUUUUUGUCUGUAUUUAACCUUUUAGCUUUUCUUGUCUUUCCAGCGAACAGACUGCCUACUUCUCUGUCUGUCUGUCUCUGUUUAUCCCUUAAUCUUUAUAUAUAAAACUGUAGUUGUGUGAGUGUCUGUCCCCUUCGAUUUAGAUUCCUAACUACUCCCACAUUUUGCAGUGCAGUGUAACCAAAAACCGGGUAUCUUAUAGUCGUGAUUCAUAUCGAGGCCUUCUGGGUAUUAGCGCGCGUCUACGAUGAGUCUACGAUUUUAAAAAUAAUUUACCAUAAUUUUUUUCCAUUUUAAUGCAUUUUUUCGCUAUUAUAAGGGAAGUAACUCUCUAAAAAUGUCUACGAUGAGUCUACGAUUUAAAAAAAAUUUACCAUCGUUUUUUUCCAUUUUAAUGCAUUUUUUUCGCUAUUAUAUAAGGGAAGUAACUCUCUAAAAAUGUCUACGAUGACUCUACGAUUUAAAAAAAAAAUUUACCAUCAUUUUUUCCCAUUUUAAUGCAUUUUUUUCGCUAUUAUAUAAGGGAAGUAACUCUCUAAAAAUGUCUACGAUGAGUCAACAAUUUAAAAAAAUUUACCAUUUUUUUUCCAUUUUUAAUGCAUUUUUUUGCUACUUUUUGGCUAUAACUCUAAAAAUGCUUAUAUAGUUAUUUCCCUUACAAACCCGAGCAACGCCGGGCGAUACUGCUAGUAUAAUAUAAACUUGUAUAUAUUUACGUUCUACUGUAGCCUUGGGACAUCCAAAACCUUGUAAAUGGAUUUGGUUGACGGAAACUGAAAGAAGCCCGUUUUAUAUAUGGUUUACAAUUCCAUUAUCUUCCAUUAUAGUUAGGAUCAGUAAAAACAAAACGUGUUCCACACAGUGAGAGGUAAAUCUUUAUAUAAAGCUGAAGUUGUCUGUGUGUAUGGCAGGUUUGGCAGCCUUCAACUAACACUAUCUCCUCCGAGACCCUGCGGCGCAAGUUGACCGAAAUUGAGAGUAUGAUAGAAGAAGGCUUGCUCUUCAUUCCGUAGAAGAAAAAAUUCAAAUCAGACCAUGUUAACACCAAAAAUUAUUUACAUCAAAAAGGUGCUUUUUUUUUCUAUGAAAAUCCCUAUUUUUUACGAUUUUUUUACUGCUGUGUCACCAUUUUUCGGUGUAUUUCAACUAGAAAAAUGUUCACUUAAAGAGAAUAACAAGCUACAUAAUGCAACAUUUUUACUUUUCAAAAAUUCCAAUUCUAAAGAGUCGAAACAAACCCAAGCAACGCCGGGUGAUACAGCUAGUAUCAUUUAUAAUACACAAUGCUAAAAGAGCUAUGAAAUGUUACAUGCUUUAAGAUACAUUAAAUUGGAACAUUUAUAUACCAAGUCAUGUAUCUCCAAGCAGUUCAUAACGGUAGAAGUAUUUCAUUAUUAUCAUUGUUCGACUGUGGUCGAGACAAGGGAAUUUACUAUGUUACGCCAGACUUCACGGUCCAUCAUAGCCUUACGGAGGUCCUGUUGCUGGAUGCCUGUAUCCCUGGAGAUUACAUCAAGGUAGGAGAGUGUGCGCCCUCUGGUAUCGCGAGCAGAUGGCUUCCAGAGGAGAAGAGUAGAAAUUAUAUAUUUUUCAGCUCUACAACAAUGUCCAGCAAACUGGACUCUUCUACCUUUCACAAGAGAUGAUACAGGUGGUAGUUUCCCAUAUAUUUGUACUUUGGUUGGAUGACGCUUCCACAAGAGAUUUUGAGCUCUCAUAAGGAGGCGAGUGUAAGUUCCAUCCAACCGCCUCUCAAGCUUCUUUGAUAACGUCCAGGUUUCUGAGCCAUAUAGUAGAAUUGGUUCGACUGUGGCUUUGAAGAUUUUAAGUUUGAAAUCUCUACUUAGAUUUGAUGACCAGAUCUUAUGCAUGUCAUUACAGGCUGACCAGGCCAUACCCUUUCUAGUUAGAAAAUCUUUUUCAGACGAUGAUAUGUAUGACCCAAGAUAUUUGUAAUCAGAAACCAUAUUUAAGGGCGUAUUGUUGAGAGUAUGGAUGAUGAAAUCACUGUUGGACAGGCACUUGUUUACAUAUUCAGUCUUGGACUCAUUGAGGUAAAGAUGUAUUUAAAAACUAGGAUGCUGGUCUUUGAGAAAGAGCGAGGGGAAUAUAACGCGAAGAAAGUUGGUGUAAAAAGUGGAACGUGAAGAAAGAAAAGCAAAGUAAACCAAGACCUUCGUCCUCUUUGAUUCGAGCUACAUUAAUUAAGAUCUCUAUAGUCAAAGAGAUGCAAGUUAUGCAUAGAUGAAAGAUUGCCCAUUCGUUUUAAACCAAGAAUUACACCAUACUAUUUAAUGCCAGAUCUGAAAGUUUUACCAAAUGCAAACACAUGGACAAAUUUCUGUUGUCGAAUUCGAGGACACCACCCGAUUCAGAUCAAGUAGCUAUCUCACAGGCUUUAGUCUCCUUUCUGUUAUAUUGUUGUGCACCAGCUACAUAAAUUAUGGUCUCUACACUCAAGGAAGACAAUCUUGGUUUCCGUAUUUGCUUUUCUUUCUGCUCGUUCCGCUUUUGUAUCAAUCUUCUUCGCGUCUUUUCCUUCUCGCUGGUCUGUUUUCUUUCCUUCACACAACUCAGUAAACGAGAAACAGCGAGAAAAAAAAAAUCAAGAAACGAAAGCAAUAAUGGUGACUGGACGCUAGUUCCUCGCAGGAUUACUCAUUUUUGCCAGCUGAGUGGACUGGAGCAACGUGAAAUAAAGUAUUUUGCUCAAGCACACAACGCAUCACCCGGUCCAGGAAUCGAAACCACAAUCUUACGAUCAUGAGUCCAGUACCCAACACACUAAGCCACGCGCCUCCAC